AAAUAGAAAAACCAGAACUAAUACAAUUUAAUCUAAUUCAUAUUUUCAUAUCCUAUUUCUUCAUAGGAAAAUACAUGAAGUAUCAUGGAUCCUCGUCAAUUCUUCGCAUCAAGACAUUGAAGCAGAAGAUCAAGAACGACAGGAAAUAAUCUUAAAAUCAACAGUCACUUAAAAAGAAAAGAAAGAAAAAGAAAAACAUUUGAAUACAAAAUAAAAGCCCGCCAUUACUUUCAAGUUCGUUCCUAAUCCUGUGGUUUUGUUGCUUCCCAGUUUUUCUUAAUAAUUGGCUUUCAUCACAAAAAAUAUUUUGGUCAAUGACCCUAUUUAUUUAUAUUCAAUUGGUUUAAACCUGUUAUGCCCUUUGGCGGUGCAGGUUGAGAGCAUAAAUAUUUUUUAAUUUCUUUUAUAAGCUCUCAAUUAGAAAUUGUCCCUAUCUACUAUCUAGCGAAACCACAGCCAAGGGAACGGGCUUGGAAAAAUCAGCGGGGAAAGAAGACCCUGUUGAGCUUGACUCUAGUCUGACUCUGUGAAGAGACAUGAGAGGUGUAGCAUAAGUGGGAGGCCGUGAACCCUCGCGGUUGUGUCGUGCCGACAGUGAAAUACCUCUACUUUCAUCGUUUCUUUACUUACUCGGUGAAGCGGAAAGCGGACCAUGAGUGUCCACGCUUCUAGCACUAAGUGCAAGGCCCUUCGUUGGCCCGCACGAUCUGUUCCGAGGACAGUGUCAGGCGGGGAGUUUGACUGGGGCGGUACAUCUGUCAAAUGGUAACGCAGGUGUCCUAAGGAGAGCUCAGCGAGGACAGAAACCUCGCGUAGAGCAAAAGGGCAAAUGCUGCUUGAUCUUGAUUUCAGUACGAU
rnacentral:ncRNA from 1 species